rnacentral:other from 1 species
AACAUGAUGUGAUCUUAUAUUUUAGAAUAAAUUAGUGAUGUAAAAUUUGAAAUAUAUUGCUAUCAUGUUAACAGAGUUACCUAUUUAGGUUUACUUCCAAGAUGCUCUAGAAGCAGCCCUUCCAAAAUCUAGGAACCAUCACUCGAUUAUAUAGUUUAAGUUGACUAUAUAGUUUAAAUUAUAACUUGCUACAAAUCAA